rnacentral:lncRNA from 1 species
CUGAUUCAGUGGGUACCAUUGGAUAAGAUGAGUCAUGUAACUGCCUGUAUAGCAUCAUCUCCAGAUGUGAGGACAGAGAGGGAGCAACCUUCUUGUGAUCAUGAGGAUGAGAGUCAUAUGAAAAGCAGCAGAGGGAAAAAUACAAGGAGCAUGAGACCCGGAGGGAACCACCAAGCCAGCCCUGGACUUUCUGCCUCUGGACUUUUGACCUGUUCUUCACUCUUACGUGCACACUCCUCAAGGGCAGAGGCCAUAUCUACAUCAAUGAAUGAAUGAAUGCUCAUCUCAUAAAACAUACUGUGAGCUUAGAGACUAUGCUUUUUGCUGAAGGAGAUGUCUGAAGGUGAGUGGAUAGGCAGUCCUUGGAUACACCUGUAUCUCACCUGUAGGCCAGUUCCAUGAACAGGGUUAGGCACACAGCAUCCAUUGUCCUUGCUGUUU